CGGGGCAUGGCUCAGUUUGGCUAGAGCGCACGCUUAGGGAGUGUGAGGUCGCAAGUUCAAAUCUUGUUGCCCCGA
rnacentral:tRNA from 2 species